CAGUAGCCACGGUAAUACGUAGGUGGCAAGCGUUGUCCGGAAUUAUUGGGCGUAAAGGGCUCGCAGGCGGUUUCUUAAGUCUGAUGUGAAAGCCCCCGGCUCAACCGGGGAGGGUCAUUGGAAACUGGGAAACUUGAGUGCAGAAGAGGAGAGUGGAAUUCCACGUGUAGCGGUGAAAUGCGUAGAGAUGUGGAGGAACACCAGUGGCGAAGGCGACUCUCUGGUCUGUAACUGACGCUGAGGAGCGAAAGCGUGGGGAGCGAACAGGAUUAGAUACCCGGGUAGUCCCUGUCUCUUAUAC
rnacentral:rRNA from 1 species